UCUUAUGGUUGAACAAAGAAAGUGGUUUCUUGAGAUGGAAUCUACUCUUGGUGUAGUUGCUGUGAA
rnacentral:pre_miRNA from 2 species